rnacentral:rRNA from 1 species
GACGAACGCUGGCGGCGUGCUUAACACAUGCAAGUCGAACGGUAAGGCCCUUCGGGGUACACGAGUGGCGAACGGGUGAGUAACACGUGGGUGAUCUGCCCUGCACUUCGGGAUAAGCCUGGGAAACUGGGUCUAAUACCGGAUAGGACCACUGCCUGCAUGGGUGGUGGUGGAAAGCUUUUGCGGUGUGGGAUGGGCCCGCGGCCUAUGAGCUUGUUGGUGGGGUGAUGGCCUACCAAGGCGACGACGGGUAGCCGGCCUGAGAGAGUGACCGGCCACACUGGGACUGAGAUACGGCCCAGACUCCUACGGGAGGCAGCAGUGGGGAAUAUUGCACAAUGGGCGCAAGCCUGAUGCAGCGACGCCGCGUGAGGGAUGACGGCCUUCGGGUUGUAAACCUCUUUCAGCACCGACGAAGCGCAAGUGACGGUAGGUGCAGAAGAAGGACCGGCCAACUACGUGCCAGCAGCCGCAGUAA